AAUAUUGGGCAAUGGGCGAAAGCCUGACCCAGCCACGCCGCGUGGAGGAAGACACCCCUAUGGGGCGUAAACUCCUUUUAUACGGGAAGAACCCCUCCCUCAGGGAGCCUGACGGUACCGUAUGAAUAAGCACCGGCUAACUCCGUGCCAGCAGCCGCGGUAAUACGGAGGGUGCAAGCGUUGUCCGGAUUCACUGGGUGUAAAGGGUGUGUAGGCGGGACGGUAUGUCAGAGGUGAAAGCCCACGGCUCAACCGUGGAAUUGCCUUUGAAACUGCCGUUCUUGAGUCUCGGAGAGGUCGCUGGAAUUCGUGGUGUAGCGGUGAAAUGCGUAGAUAUCACGAGGAACACCAGAGGCGUAGGCGGGCGACUGGACGAGUACUGACGCUGAGGCACGAAAGCGUGGGGAGCAAACAGGAUUAGAUACCCUGGUAGUCCACGCCGUA
rnacentral:rRNA from 1 species